rnacentral:miRNA from 1 species
GGUCAGCUGACACAUCCCUGCCAAUCUCCGGCAGACCCUCCCUCUCAGACCCUCCCACCUCCUGGACAGCAUCCAUGUUGAAGCUGCCUUCAACAUGGUUGCUGUCCAGGAAGUAGAAGGGUCUGGGAGGGAGGGUCUGCUGGAGAUUGGCAGGGAUGUGUCAGCUG